GAAUCUUUCUGACCAUGAAGGUAGGAUCUUGUUGUCUUCUCCACUGGUGGGGUCUUGCUGUUGGCUUUCCAUGGAUAAUCAGAUCUCUCUGCUGAUAGACCACAGAGGUGAUGAUCAUUCAGUGCAAUACAAUUUAAUGGCCAAAUUCUUCUGAGAUUUAUUGGUGUCAGUCUAGGAAGAGGAGCAUUUUUUAUUUCAUGAGUGAUGAGAUUUCUACAAGAUUAAUAAAAUAAACCCUCUGGAUGGGUGUUAAUGAGAGAGUUGGAACAUGUAAGAUGUCAAUCUGUAAUUUGACAGAGAAGUUGAUUGAAGAAGAUCUACCAUCUAUAUAUGACACUGACUAAGAUGAAUAUGGAGAAGAAUAAAAUAUGACAUUAUAUCCAAGUUUACUGUGAAAAUCUCCAGCUAGAGGAUGGAAUCCUUCCAAGAGAUCUUCCAGCAAAAUACAAGCUAUUAGAUCAACAGAAAACCACUCCACACUAAGUAGAAAAGUGACUAUAUAAAUUAGCAUUUUACAAGAAUCCCAAAGAAUGGCAAAGACCCAUGUAAUGACAACAUAUUUCAAUGAUGUGAUUAACCACAAGGGAGCUAAUCAGACUCCUUGGUAAAUUAAACAAAAAAAGGAGAUUUAAGGAAUUUGGAUGCCAAGAAAGAUGUCCACUAUUUAUAGAUGUGACAGGGAACCCAACAGUAGGUAGAGAGCUACAUUAGAUACUUAGUUUGUCAGACUCUGGACAAGUCACUUAAUCUUUUGGAACACAAUUUGCUCAUCUGUUAAAAUUACUUCCAAUUACAUUACAUUCUCAGUUUCUGAUUCUAUGAUCCUGACAGUUGGUAUCAGAUGAUGGUCUUUGUGAAGAGAAUGAAGGCCAAAAUCUGGAUGAAAAAAUAUUUGUAUUUUUAUAGGUAUUGGAGAGAUAUACUAAAAUUAUGCAGAUCUGGGUUAAAAUAUUGGCCAUAGGAUGGUGGAGUUGAGUAUUGAGAUUGGUUCUUAUUUGUAUAUACUCCAGACAUGGAAACCCCAAGAAAAAAGAAUACAGCAACAAACUCUGUUGAGGCAGAAGAUAGCAAAAUUCACCCUAAGCCAUUAUUUGUCAUCAGAUCUAGACGUGAAACUGUAGACUCAGGACUCAGCAUAGUUUGUCCCAUAAAUAUGGAGGAAAUUAAGGGGGAAAAAAGGAUAAUAAGUCACUAUAAAAGUGUCUGGAUUAUCCUAUACUUUUUCUAGGAAUUUUGAGACUUAUAUGCCAGAUUCAGCUUGGUGAUGUUUUAG
rnacentral:lncRNA from 1 species